AGAUUCCUGAGGUGUACGCGAAUCGCUUGUUUUUACCCACAUUUUCACAAAUGGAGUCCGGGUCGGGGCGUGGAUGUCAAGCCCCCGUGGUGACACGCAAGGGGAAGGCAGAAAUGCGCCGCAGGGCACCACCCUGCCGAGCGGCGGGUGAAAAAACGGCGGUGGACGGCACUUUGGGAUUUAU
rnacentral:other from 1 species